UGGGGAAUAUUGGACAAUGGGCGAAAGCCUGAUCCAGCCAUGCCGCGUGUGUGAAGAAGGUCUUCGGAUUGUAAAGCACUUUAAGUUGGGAGGAAGGGCAUUAACCUAAUACGUUAGUGUUUUGACGUUACCGACAGAAUAAGCACCGGCUAACUCUGUGCCAGCAGCCGCGGUAAUACAGAGGGUGCAAGCGUUAAUCGGAAUUACUGGGCGUAAAGCGCGCGUAGGUGGUUUGUUAAGUUGGAUGUGAAAUCCCGGGGCUUAACCUGGGAACUGCAUUCAAAACUGACUGACUAGAGUAUGGUAGAGGGUGGUGGAAUUUCCUGUGUAGCGGUGAAAUGCGUAGAUAUAGGAAGGAACACCAGUGGCGAAGGCGACCACCUGGACUAAUACUGACACUGAGGUGCGAAAGCGUGGGGAGCAAACA
rnacentral:rRNA from 1 species